rnacentral:rRNA from 1 species
AUGAACGCUGGCGGCGUGCCUCAUACAUGCCAGUCGAGCGCACGGACGAGAAGCUUGCUUCUCUGAUGUUAGCGGCGGACGGGUGAGUAACACGUGGAUAACCUACCUAUAAGACUGGGAUAACUUCGGGAAACCGGAGCUAAUACCGGAUAAUAUUUUGAACCGCAUGGUUCCAAAGUGAAAGACGGUCUUGCUGUCACUUAUAGAUGGAUCCGCGCUGCAUUAGCUAGUUGGUAAGGUAACGGCUUACCAAGGCAACGAUGCAUAGCCGACCUGAGAGGGGGGUCGGCCACACUGGAACUGAGACACGGUCCAGAAUCCUAAGGGAGGCCGCAGUAGGGAAUCUUCCGCAAUGGGCGAAAGCCUGACGGAGCAACGCCGCGUGAGUGAUGAAGGUCUUCGGAUCGUAAAACUCUGUUAUUAGGGAAGAACAUAUGUGUAAGUAACUGUGCACAUCUUGACGGUACCUAAUCAGAAAGCCACGGCUAGCUACGUG